UGCUAUUUGCUGCACUCCAGAUCACCACAUGAUGUAGGAAAACACCACCCAAGUGAGCUUCUCAUGUGGCCCCCUCGCCACAAAUGUACACCCCAGAACCAUUCCAUUCUUCUCUAGACAGCAGCACAUUGACAGCCCACAGAUGGAAACCACAGAACACGGCAAAGUCACAUACUCCACCAUUGCCCACGUUCGACGGGACAGGCUUCCUUCCAUGCAGUAGAUGAGUGACACCACGACGUAUGCCACGGUGACCCGCACCCAGCCCCGAUAGCACUGCCACAGGGCAAGGGCACAGGAGCCUUGCCCACAGUUGUGCUUGCUUUCCUGCAGAGGUCUCCUGCAGCCAUAAGUUGGGACUGGGAGGUGCACUUUGGGCUUCUUUGGGGUUUGCUGUCACAGGGACGGGCUGUCUGUGUCUAGCUAAGAGAUUGAAGGUCUCAUAUCUCUGUUUGCAAUAAAUUAAUACCUCUAAAAUAUAUCAGGUAUACCAGGUAAUAUUGUAAGUGUGUCAAUGAUUUAACCUCUUGUGAAACCAUCUCCCUGUGCUCGGUGGAAAAUAUGUGUACCUAGACUGCUUGAUAUAGUCACAGGGCUGCUCUU